rnacentral:rRNA from 1 species
GACGAACCGAGCGAACGUUGUUCGGAAUCACUGGGCUUAAAGGGCGCGUAGGCGGGUGCUCAAGUCCGUGGUGAAAUCCUCCGGCUCAACCGGAGAACUGCCUCGGAUACUGGGUGCCUCGAGGGUGGUAGGGGUAUGCGGAACUAUCGGUGGAGCGGUGAAAUGCGUAGAUAUCUGGAGGAACACCGGUGGCGAAGGCGGCAUCCUGGACCGAGAUUGACGCUGAUGCGCGAAAGCCAGGGGAGCAAACGGG